rnacentral:rRNA from 1 species
GGCCAGCAUCAGUUUGGACGGUAGGAUANUGACUAGGGAAUGUGGCUNUUCNAGGGAGAGUGUUAUAGCCUUNGUUGAUACUGCCAGUCUAGACUGAGGACCGCGUCUUUGACAAGGAUGUUGGCAUAAU